GUGCUCGCUUUGGCAGCACAUAUAGUAAAAUUGGAACAAUACAGAGACGAUUAGCAUGGCCCCUGCACAAGGAUGACACACAAAUACAAAUAAUAGCUGGGCAUUGGU